rnacentral:rRNA from 1 species
CACGUAGGGCGCAAGCGUUGUCCGGAAUUAUUGGGCGUAAAGAGCUCGUAGGCGGUUUGUCGCGUCUGCUGUGAAAAUCCAGGGCUUAACCCUGGACCUGCAGUGGGUACGGGCAGACUAGAGUGCGGUAGGGGAGAUCGGAAUUCCUGGUGUAGCGGUGAAAUGCGCAGAUAUCAGGAGGAACACCGGUGGCGAAGGCGGAUCUCUGGGCCGUAACUGACGCUGAGGAGCGAAAGCAUGGGGAGCGAACAGG